CCUACGGGACGCAGCAGUGAGGAAUAUUGGUCAAUGGUCGGGAGACUGAACCAGCCAAGCCGCGUGAGGGAUGAAGGUACAGAGUAUCGUAAACCUCUUUUGUCAGGGAACAAAGGCGGGGACGUGUCCCCGGAUGAGUGUACCUGAAGAAAAAGCAUCGGCUAACUCCGUGCCAGCAGCCGCGGUAAUACGGCGGAUUCGAGCGUUAUCCGGAUUUAUUGGGUUUAAAGGGUGCGUAGGCGGUCUGUUAAGUUCGCGGUCCAAUCCC
rnacentral:rRNA from 1 species